rnacentral:rRNA from 1 species
UACAUGUGGGGCAAGCGUUGUUCGGAAUUACUGGGCAUAAAGGGUGCGUAGGUGGCUUGUUAAGUCAGGGGUGAAAGUUUUCGGCCCAACCGGAAAAUGGCCUUUGAUGACUGGCGAGCUCGAGUGCGUGAGGGGUAACCGGAACGAGCAGUGUAGCGGUGAAAUGCGUAGAUAUUGCUCGGAAGGCCAACGGCGAAGGCAGGUUACUGGUACGCAACUGACACUGAGGCACGAAAGCGAUGGGGAGCAAAC